AGGAAAUCCCUAUUUCUAGAGUCAGCGAGGCAACUGAAAUUAUGCCAAACAUGUAAGGUAAACUGACCGAUUUGUUACCAUAUGCUUAUCAAAAAACAUAAUCAUAACCGCAAUACAAGUUCUUAGAGGUUAUUGCAGCAUGCCCAUGUUGUGAAUAAUAACCUUGUCUAAAUUCCCAAUUCUUAAAAUAGAGUAUUCUUCUACCCAAAAAAAGUAGAGUAUUCAUGUGAAUCGUGGAAGGAAGCCCGUACUCAAAUCCACAUUAAGUCUUAGAUGCUAGGCUAAACUCUAGAUUGAACUCAGGCCUGGUUCUUACCACCAUGAAUGACCCCUACAUAUCAGUGCGAUAAAUCCUUUGCCCCAAGCAACGAUGGUAUAAUUAUAACCUCAAGGUCACAGCAAAUUUCUCACCCAAAAGGCAGUGGACAAAUAAUAUGAUGAAGCAUGUUUAGACUUAACUGGUGGUGUAAAAAGCAUAAGAAAUUAAGAAACACAUUGUCAAAAGCUAAUUCUCCAAAUGCAAGAUUAUGCUUUGGGAAAAAACAACUCAAAGCCACAACCAACCAGAGGCUUAGACAUGUUCCCGGUGAAACUCUGAUCCAUGGCCUAGAGUGGGACGUUCAUGUAAAUAUUGGAGAUAUUAGUCUCCAGAAUUAGACUCAGUAGCCCAUAAAUUCUAAAAAAUUUUGACAUAAGGGUUAUUUACAUGCAAUAGUCAAACGUCAUCACAAUAAGUAAACAAAUAUAUUCAUAUAAUUGAUGAAAAAAAUAAUACACAUACAAAGAAGUAAUCUAAACUCAAAUUUUCUCUCAGGACAGCAACAAACCAAGUCUAGGCAAGCCAAAAUAUAUUAGUAUUUAAGCUUGGUCUUCGGGCUCGAAUUCAGCUCAAGCUAGCUCAUUGAAGAAACACAAAGUUCUGUCUCAAUUCCAAAAAGCUCAGCAAAAAGCUGAGCCUCAAUGUACUCAACGGUUGUAAUAGAAUAGGCUCAAAAAUGACACGACCAAGCUUGAUUGAGCUCCACAAUGACACGACAAACACCAAAAGAGAAAAGCAACGCA
rnacentral:lncRNA from 1 species